rnacentral:tRNA from 1 species
AGCGAGGGUCAUCGGUUUGACUCCGAAAGCGGGCU